UACGGAGGGCUCAAGCGUUGUUCGGAUUCAUUGGGCGUAAAGGGUGCGUAGGCGGCGCGGUAAGUCGGGUGUGAAAUCUCGGAGCUUAACUCCGAAACUGCAUUCGAUACUGCCGUGCUUGAGGACUGGAGAGGAGACUGGAAUUUACGGUGUAGCGGUGAAAUGCGUAGAUAUCGGAAGGAAGACCAGUGGCGAAGGCGGGUCUCUGGACAGUUCCUGACGCUGAGGCACGAAGGUCAGGGGAGCAAACGGG
rnacentral:rRNA from 1 species